AUAAAAGAUUAAGUAGUAUUUUCAUCCUGUUUUAAUUGACAAGAGAAUUUCUUUAAUUAAUAGAGAUUACAAGCCAAACUUACCCACAAAGCAUGCCCUCUUUUUGCUCCAAAAGAAAGUUAGCCACCCUUUUUUCUUUUUCCUUUAUUUUUCACUCUUUCCCUCCCCCUUCAAAGUUAUAAAGUUCAAACGUACAUCCAAGGUUGAAGCUACACCAAGCACUUACCCAAAAGGAAAAAGAUUGAAUUCUCAAAUACCUAGGACAAUGAUAAAGAUUUGUUUUCAUAGAAAAUUGUGUAAAUUUUAGCCAAAAUUAAUUAUUAACCCCGUGAUCAACUGAUAAGUAAUGAUUAACUCGAGGGUGUAUAAGGAACAAUUCUCAACUUUUUUCUUUUGAUGUCUAUUUUAAUUAAGGAUUGAAUAAAUUUGUUUUUCGGUUUCCUACGUUUUUUUUUGUUGGAUUCAACAUGCUUUCGAUUCUUUGUGGCUGAAAAGUUUGAUACCAAAUAUUAUGAAAGACUAACCUAUUUUAUGUUUAUGAACUAACUCAAAUUUCUCACCCCUUGGUUAAAUAUAUUAAUUUCGUAUUCAACAAAGAAAUUAUAUACUACAUUAAAUAGAAAUUCUUGAUUAAAUUAUACUCAGACACUCAAGUUAAUGUGAUUAUUAAGCUAGUAUUAAUAAUCACAUUUGCUAAUUACUAUCUCAGCUAGUGUUAAUAACUUCAAUUACAAAAUGAGCCUCGAAAAAAGACAUUCCACAUAACAUCACGAGAUCCCUCAAACCAAACUGUAUAUAAAAGUAUAAACUGAAAACCAAACUUAGCUAAGCGGGUGAGCGACACCGUUACGAAGCGUAGGGAUAUGAUCGAAGAAUAUUUCAUAUCAUUGUUGCAAGUGUAAAUUAAGGAGACACACGAGCUUGCAUUACAAGGUCAUGUGGGGUGCGGUCCCUCAUGAGUCACGACCCUGUAAAAAUUCUGAUAAGGACGACUGGAAUAUUCAUAUUCAUGGGUUAUAUGUCAUGCUACAUACUACAUCAUGCAUCCACAUUAUCGAUGGUCAUGCCACAUACCAUGCCAUGGCCCAUGUCAAGUGCCAACGAUGCCCUCGCUUUUUGUCUGCUUCUGAGAAAGAGACACGCACUUUCGCGAAAGCGUACGUGGGCUAAAGGGAAACUAGGAGAAAAGGGAAAGGGAUCCUCUCCACCUAAUAAGUUCGAAGAUUUAGAUCAUUAAAAUUUAAUCAAAUCAUUAAAAUUAUUAUAAUUUUUAAAAUGGACAUCUAUUUGUAGUUGUUAGAUCAAAUUUCAAUAGCUCAGAUCCUCAGAUUUGGUAAAUUAAGAGACAGAGAUUCGGAGAGGAUCCAUUUCUGGAGAAAAGGAACACAAAACGCCUAUUGGCAUCAAAAUUAAUUUUGCCAACAUUAGUGUGAUUGCUACCAAUUUUAAAAUUUUCUUUCAUGAAUUAACAUAUUAUCUAUUAUUCCCAAUUACCUAGUCCAUUUAUAAGAAUCAUCUCAGUUUUAAUUUUGUUAGUAAGUAUUACGGUUUGGUGGUAUUCAUUUUCACUUGGAAGUGAGAGGUCUUAGGUUCGAAUCUCGUGAAUGGAAAAUUCGAUACCAAAUUAGGCUGCCCAUUGUGGCUUAACCGAACUUCAUCUCCCCUUAGUGUAAAAAUAUCGAUGUACUAAAAAACCUUAGUGUAAAAAUAUCAAUGUAUUAAAUAAAAUCUCAGUUUUAAUUCUUAAUUUUUAUUUUUUAAAUUGAAAAUUUUCUGGUAAUUAUUUUAAUUUUUAUUUAAAAAAAUGAAAAACUUAAACCAGAAUUUAAAAACACCAAACAGUAAAUUUGAAGGUAAUUACCAAAUGAUUUUUUAGUUUUCAGGAAAAAAAUGAAAAUAAAAACUACAACAAGAAAUGCCAAGACAAGCCUUGUGUAUGGGUUAACGGACUAGAGCAACAAAGUUGUUUAUAUAUGUGAGGUAUUAUACGAUUUAAAAGUUUUAUAAAUUUGAGACUAAUUUGAUAACGAUCCAAGAUUUUGAGUAAUUUAUGUAAUUUAUCAUUUUACAUCGAAGAGUGAUAUUGGCUAGGGAGCCAAAUAUAUAAUUGCAGGAAAUACAAUAAGAGAAUUAAUUAUAUGAAUAAUCUACCUAGGCAACAACCUCACAAGUGGUCAACUUCAUGGAGAAAAUAUUUUCUUGUAUGUGUAUGCAUACUAGUAUUUAAAAAAUAAAAAUAAAAAUAAAGUUAAAGAAAUGGACGUGUAGUGCCUUUUUUAUUUUUUUUUAUUUUUAUUUUUUUUUGUAUUAUUCAAAAUAUACCGCGUAUAUAAUUUAAUUAUAUUAUUUUUGGGGUGCCCUUUUUUUUUGUAUUAUUCAAAAUAUACCGAGUAUAUAAUUUAAUUAUAUUAUUUUAGGGGUGUUGAGAUUCCAGUUUCCAAAUGCACAUGUGACCAAAGGGUUCCCUUUGAUAAUUGGAAUCUUCUUUCUUAGACGCGAUCACGCAUGAGCUCAAACCCAUGUGUGAGAGUGAGUAUUUUGUAGGCCGUGUCAAAAUUCAAGUGUUAGGGAGGUUAAAUUUGUAGAUUAAAUUUGCAAAUUAAAUGACGUGUCACCAAUAAGAUAUGAGCAUGUUUAUCAAUAUUUAAGUAAUAAUCCAAUCAUUCACUUUCAUGUCAUUUAGUUUUCAAAAUUUAAUCUCCCGAACAUUACUCAAACUCAAAAGGUUAAAGGUCUAUGAAAUAAAAGAUGACCAAUUGGUAUAGAGAAGUCUCUUUCACUUUCAUGGUGUGUUUGGAGAAAGAUUUAGCUUUGUUUAAAAGUGUUUUUAAAUGAUGAAGCUUUUUGGUGAAAAUGUUUGGAAUCAUUUAUUAGUAAAAAGGUUUUUCAGCCAAAAUGAUCUUUGAGAUUUGCAUAAUUUCUCAUAGAAGUGGUCCCUAAGUUUGUCCACCAUCAAUUAUUUUGGUCUUUUUGUGAAAAAUUCUGUUAAAUAAGGACCAAGUUGACAAAAAAAAACCCGAAAUUUAAUAAACAAUGUGCCAAAAUGAUUUGGUAAAAGUUGAGGGCAUUUUUGUCAUUUUAUCCUUAUUUAAUAGAGAUUUUUCACAGAAUGAACAAAAUGAUUGAUAGUGGACAAAUUGAGGGAUCACUUCUAUCAAUUUCAAAUCUCAAAGACUAAAGUGAAAAAUUAUGUCAAUUUCAGGGACCAUUUUGGAUAAAAUGUAAUUGGACUUGGAAAAACACUUGAAGUGCUUCAUGCAAAAACCACAAGUUGCAGGAAGCACUUCAAGUGCUUUUAGAAUCUAAAAACUUUUUCUUCAAAAACGCUUUCAAUCAUUUUAAAAGUACUUCCAAACAAGCUCAUAUAUGUGCAAGUGCUUCAUGCAACUAUGCAAGUGCUCCUUCUUCUUAUUUCUACAAAUGUUAGAACAUAUACAUAAAUUGCACUGGGUAUAUUUAUUACAACAUCGUUUUUAGAGACGUGGCAAGUGAAUAUCUGAAUGCCAAGUAUGGCUCAUAACAAUCUAUCAUCCGGCGGAUACAACGAUACUUCUGCCGUAUGAAGAGUUAAUUUGCCAAGCCAAAAUUUUCACUUUUUGGGAAAUCCUGCCGAUUAAUAUGUUUUUUGGUAAAAUUUGAAAAUGUACUCAUCAGAUAGGAUUCAAUUUUAUAAAGCGAAACAAAAUUUUGGUUAAGUUUUUCAGUUGGUUAUUGGGUUUUUAACUGAUGUUUUAAGGUGAGUCUUAUGUCUUAUAAUUUGAGUGAAUUCGAUUGGACAUUAUAAAAGUUUUGGUUAGAAUUGUGAUGCAAAUAAUUUAUUGUUUUUUAAUUGCUGAGAAUACCUGAAAACAGGUUGAAUUUUCAUUGGUUGGAUCAAUUACCAAUCAAAUGUUUGAGCAAAUUGGAAAAGGCAUUGUGGAUAAAGGAAAAGGAUCCGGCGAUGAUCAUUUUCUUAUGAAUCUGGUGAGGAUCAUUUUCUUAUGAAUCUGGUGAGGAUCAUUUUCUUAGGGAUCUUAGGGAUCUCAUAAUCGUGACUAUUUAUCGUAUAUCGUGCAGUCAAUUUUCGUUAAGUUCUAUUUAUAUUUAAUUUUAAAAUUUAAAAUAAUUUUUUACUGUACGAAGUAUGAUAAACUAUCACGAUCACGGAAUCCCUAUUCAGUUUACCAAUGGAAUCAUGCAUACGUUGCUCAAUGAAGGGUUGAGGGCAAAAAGAAACUCUCUAAAGUGAGCCACAUGCAUGCAAAAAGAAAAGCAAAAUGACCUUCAUCAUUUCAUCACCAUCAAAACUUCAUGAACAAUACUUGGCUAUUCAAGGAUGAGUAACUACUCAAAGUUCUUUGUAUUCAAAUCACAUAGCUUCGUACUUAUGAUCAUAACCGUUCAUAUUAUGAAUCACUUUGUAAAGAUCAUCUUUGCAAAAAAGAAAUGAAUUAAAACUAAGGUCGUUUAGUCAAUCUAUUGUAGCAAAUACAAUUGACGUUUCGUAAUGUUUUUACCAAUUCCGUUCAUCUGUUUUUAUACAGUUCGAUGACUAAAUAACCUUAGUUUUAAUUUAUUUAUUAUUUAACCUUGUGAACGUUGACUGAGCUGAGAAGAAGCACUAGCAACUCUUGUCAAAUAACUGAUUUAUGAACUGUUCUAAUCAUAAAAUGAAGUUCUAUGAAUCAACAAUGAACAAUUUUGAGUAGGAACUCUUACUCAUCCUUGAGUAGCCAAGUAUUAUUCAAACUUUAUUAACCACAUUUAUAAUUACAUAAAUAGUGCUCAAAUCUUGACCUUCUUUAUUUUUUUACACAAUCCUUUGAAGAUCAUCUCAUCUUUGUAAAGAAUUAACUAAUUCUAAGAUCGUUUAGUCAUCCAACAAUUAUCUAAUAAACAGACAAAUUGUGUUCCUCACUUGAACCCUAAAUUUUAACAAGGUUAAUCGACCACUUAACGAUUUCUAAUUGAGUUAUAUUUUACAAAAUUCAUCUUUUAAAAGUGACUUGAAAUAUAAAGGGUUCUUAUCAUCAAACAAGAAGCGAGAAAACUUGAGUACGAAGGUAAGCUUGAUCAUCACAUCAUUUUAAAGACAGAACGUAGGCCUAAAGAAUAUACUAGCUCUUCGUACAUAAUUUAGGGUAUAUGGAUGUAUGUAGGGAUGGGCAAAUACCCAUUGGUUAUGGGUAACCGUGGUUACCCGCCCAUUUAAAUUAAACGGUUACGGUUAUGGGUAACCAUUUAGAUAAAUAAACGGUUAUGGGUAUAACCGUUUACCCGCGAAAUUUAAAUAGGCGGUUAUGGGUAUUAACCACGGUUAUAAACGGGUAACCGUUUACCCAUUUAUUUUAUAUAUGUAAAACUAACACAAACCAUGUUCUGGAUCCAAUAAUACUUAGCACCCAAUAAAUUAGCAAGGAAUUCAUCGGUCAUUCUCUCAAUAACACUAAUACAGGAAUGAUGAUUCUCAUCAUCAAGGAAUUGGCCAAAUUAAUUUAAAUUCCUUGCGGGUAACCGUGAAAUUGACAGAAAUGCUUUGACAAAAAUGUCUUCUAAACAAUUUUUGUAACCCAAUAAUACUUAGCAAAUAUUAUAUUUACCUUCAUUGAUAACAGUUAAAAAUAUCGUCCGUAAACUAUUAUUUCAAUUAUUGGAAUGGUAUAAGGACUUAAAAAAUUAAAAUAUGGAAAUGUAUGAUGAAUGUACCUAUAACGGUGUUUAAUUGUCAAAAAAAAAAUGUCAUAAUUUUUUUUUAAUUUUCAAGUUGUUAAAAAACAUGUAAACGGAUGAAAAAAAGGUAAUGGUAAAAAAAAAAAAAGAUAAACGGGUUAAAAAUGAUAAAUGGGUAAACGGAUAUUAAACGGUUACAGUUAAAUGGGUAUGCGGUUAUGAGUAUGGUUAACCGUUUAUAAACGGUUAUGGGUAUGGGUAUAACCGUUUAGGCAAUUACCCAACGGGUAAACGGUUAUGCGGGUAUGAGUAUAAACGGUUAUGGGUAAAUUAACCGCGGUUACCCACUCGCAUAACCAUUGCCCAUCCCUAGAUGUAUGUGCAUAAUAACUUGUUCUAGGGUCUGUGAAUGAAAUGUGAACCACAUCAUCGGAACGCGGGAGGGCACGGCAGACCGCUCUGGAUAGAGCAUGGACCAAAGAAACUAGCAACCACAUCUCCUGCCUGAUUCGCUUCUUGACACAGCCGAAGUUAUAGGUUAGGGAUCAUGAACGGUCACCGAUAGAUAGAAUUCUAGAAUGCCGGCAAUUGUGAGAGAAACUUGUUUUUUGAAUUCUUAUUCAAUGAAAGAUGAUAACUUACAACCCUAAAUGUUGUUUAAAUAGUCUUUAACAAACCCCAACUCCAAAUAGGAAAUAAAUUAAACAAAUAGCAAAAUAUAAAAAAGAUUCUAAAAUAUUAAAACCCGAAUUAAACACGUUAAACGACAUAAUUAACCCAAACUUCGACUGGGCUCGUUGAAAAUCAAUGAGUCUUGUAGGCCUCGUCGUUUUCUUGAAUCUUAUAUGUUACAGGCCCAAAACCGACAUGCUAACUUGAAAAUUCCAAAGCAUUCGUUUUCAGGGUAUGGGCAAAUAAUAUUUUAACACCUAAAUUACUAUUUCUCCAAUCAUUUUUCUUAAUUAAAUGUCACUUCCUUCUUUCAACUCUCCCGCAUUGAAAAUAACACCAACUCGGUUCUCCGUCACUUCUCUCGGGACCCAGUUCCAUAAAAUGGAAUGGAGACCUCUAGCUAGCUUGGUAAUCCUGUCAAUCGAUGAGGAGAGGCAAGGACGGAUUAAAUGAUGAGAACUUGGGAGUCAGACUCGCAAAUAAUAUCAAAAGACUGAUUUUCAAUAGCAAGGGAGACAGCCAUAACCGCUGCUCGAGCUUCAGCUUCAAGAGGGGAGGAGACACGACAACAUGAAGUUCUGCCUGCGAUCACAACUGCAUGGGUGUCUCUGGCAAUUGCACCAAUGCCAGCCUUGCUAGACGUCGACAUUCAGCUACAAUCAAAGUUAAUUUUCACUAUACCAGAUGGCAGGGCGACCCACGAACUUUUAUCUCGAACAUUCCCACCCCGCGCUGCCGUGGAGAACGAAGAGAGACUCUCUCGGAAUUGAAGUUGAACAGGGAGAGGAGGGGACUCGUGGUUCCGAUCAGAGGACACUCUCUCGGCCAACACCGGAUUCUCACCAGAGACAUCAAUCUGACUUAAAACCCUCAACUUGAUUUGUAUGGCGAGGGAUACCCGUGUCUGGUAUGAGAUAACUUUGGUGGAGGCAACUUGGAAUUCCUUAGCAUACCUCUCCACCGCUCUAGCAACUUCGAUAGGGGAAACAUAAGAAGUAGAAGAGUUCGAAAGAAGAAAGUGGUUCAUUGUACAAAACAAAGAUACAUACUCCUGUAUUCGCGGAUUCUACAAUCAGCGCAAAUCCUUCCUUUCUGUCACUAACAAUUAGAUGUAAACAUUCAGCAUAUGGACACACACAAGGAAUGCAAACAAGCGAAUUCUUAUUACUUACUUGGCUGAGAAGUAUUUUCAUCACUACCGUCAAGAAUGAGUUUGACUCCAUUGUCCUUAAGAGCAUUGACAAUAGCCCAAAUCUUGGUGCGGUUCUUAAAACCCUUUUUCUCAACUUCGUUAUUUACAUUGACAUGAAUCCCUCGUCCCUGUCCCUCGCCAAGACCUUCCACCUUGAGUCGCCUAGCCAACACCUCUCCAACAACUGCCGCUGCCUUUGCAUUGCAAGACCUUCCACAUUCGAGUGAGCCCUUGAUUGAAUGUUCAACCGUAGAUGCUGACACAACAAUUCGGCCAUUAUUUCUGUCCACUACGUUUGCUGUAAUGUACUUCAAUGAUAUGAACAGCCGUAGCACAUAUCGCUUCACAACCGUCAUUCUGGGGCAGUCCUGCUGUUUUUCGUUUAAUAAAAGCAAUUUCAACAUUAGCAAAAGAAUAUUAGAUAUGGAACUAUAGAUACACGGAAAAGAAUUGGAAGACUAACAGUUAUCUACCAAAGAAAAAUACUAAACUCUUUGGUCGUUAAUUCUCUUCAAGGGGAGUAGAGAGAUACUCUCAAUUAUCACCCACAGCCACUGGUUAAGUUCGAACCCAGUUGAUUUAAGCAGCUAACAACAUGUUGACAACGCACCUGAAGCAAACUAGUUGCACCUUCAACCCACUCUUUAUCAAACAUGUAGAACCAGAGACUAAAUGCUUCUACGCUUUUAAAUAAUAUCAAACAAAUUCCUUCAAAUACAUACUGCUAACAUCGCGUAGGCCUGUCUUCCAGGUUCCGAAAAUUAUCAGUUCAAAUGCAUCUUAAUAGAAAGUCGGUAGCAUUUUGAGUCACACUUGGGCACACAAAUUUAAUUUGACUCACACUCCCACCUAGAAAAACAUCUGAGAGACCGAAAUCUUGAGAGGAUUGUGCAUGCUUUAGUUUUUCCCCCCGCCUCAACAGCAUCACAGAGACACUGCUUUGUUAGUCCUUAGUGGUUGUAAGACUAGUUUUUUUAGCAGGCUGAUGAUUGUAGAAGGGGAAAUCCAACACUAUCAGUUACCUUAGAGUUCCCCUUCUUCACAAAGUGAAGGAGAAAAAGAAUCGAACACCAAACCCAGACUAACGAGCGAUUUAGGUUAUACCAUGCACAAUCCUCAUAAACCAUAAACCAGAUGCAAGAACAACUACCCAUCUUAUGCUCUUUUAGGCCGUCAUUUGGUGUUUAGGACUGGAGUGGAUUGGAUAACUCGGUAAAUUCAAAUGAAUGUUGGAUGAAGGGAGAAGUAGGUUGCCAUCCGCUAAUUCAUUGAACAUAGAUUGAAUUUACGGAGUUAUCCAAUCCCUUCCAAUCCUAAACACCAAAUGAGGGCUUAAUAGGCAAGCUUCAAUCAAGGACAAGUAAGAUUAAAAGACUGAUAAUACCCAAAUAACCCUUUCGUAUGAAGAACCCAUUAUUUGCCUAAUCCUGUAUUAUUACUUGUUUAUCAAGUGGAGGCAAUAAAAGCAAAUUCACAACAUGAAAUAAUUAAUCAUAUAAAUCCAUUCUUGAAACACGAUUAAACUUUUCUAUUCAUUCUUUAAAGGAACAAAUAUGAACAGACAAUACAGAGAGAGAGAGGAGAAAGAGAGCAGCUCAUGUACCUGUCGGGAACAAAGAUGAAAGCUUGGCCGGGUGGAAGCGUAGGAGUGAGUGUGACCGUGCGAGCCGAACCAGGAAAGCAGGAGGACGAGGAGGAGGAGGAGGAAAGCCAACGGUGGGCUGGUGUGGGUAACGGGCUCUUGCAGGGCUGUGGUGGUUACUGGGCUACUGCGUCCAAGUUUGACAAGUAAUGGACACCCAAACCCAAAUAUUGUCUUUGGAAUUGGAGCCCAAACUCUCCUUAGUCUAAAAUUUAAAAUUUAGAAAAACGAUAUUUUAAACUAUCUAAUUCACGAAGAGGAAAUGAGUAAAAAAAAUCUUAGCAUUAAACAAGAGUGAAAAGAGUGGACACACAAUCACCUUGAUCAACUAACUUAACCUACACAUGCUUUUAGAUAUAAUCUUUAAACACCUUUUUUAGUCACUUACGCUCUCCCCCUUCUCUCCCGUUGCAGCACGGAGGUCGGAGUGAAGUGACAAAUGGCAUCAUCAAACCACAUAUUGAAGAUGACCAUCGCCCAUGGGCAUGCUUCAGAAUACUUUUAAAACCACUUAAGAGUGUUUUGAACAUCAAAAAUUGUCACAUCCCGACCCGGGACGGAUCACUUUCCGGGUCCACUUCAUCACCGUAUCACGAUAUUAUCCGUUUUGGGCUUACCAUUCCCUCACGGUUUUGUUUUUGGGAACUCACGAGCAACUUCUCAGUGGGUCAUCCAUCCUGAGAGUGCUCUGGCCUCCUUCUCGCUUAACUUCGGAGUUCCUACGGAACCCGAAGCCAGUGAGCUCCCAAAAGGUCUCGUGCUAGGUAGGGAUGUGAAUAUACAUUUAAGGAUCACUCUCUUAGGCGAUGUGAGAUGUUACAAAAAUUACCUAUAACUAUAUUAGGCAUAAAACGCAAAAUUAUUUAUGAGUCAUAUAACUACUUUUUGGAAAAUCACAUGCAAUUCAAGAAGCACUUUCAAAUGCUUAUAUAUAUAUAUAUAUAUGUAAAUUGGAACUCUCUUCAAAAUUUGGACGUCAAGCACUUAUCACAAAUAAACUUGUGAGCACACGUAUUUCUUACAAAAACAGUAUCAAAUAAACUGUAAAUGUUAGGAUACCAUAUUUCACAUUGGAGAUAAUUAACAUUAUUGAAAUCAUGCAUUGUUCUCUACCACGCAUCAUUUUUUAUAAAUAAACAGUUGAGAUUUAACUAAUUAACGUUUUUAUUUUUGUUGUCUUUUGAUGCUUAGGAGAGCAGAGCUUUUGGGAUCGUUCCCUUCCUAGCCAGUUUUGUUGGGUUUUGGUACCUCAAUUAGACUAAAAUCGAAAUGUGUCCAAUAGGCCCAUCCCCACCAGCCCAAGCCCCUUUGGUCUCCACCCAAAACGACACCGUCCAGCCCGCUACAAAAAAUCAGAACACCAAAGGGGAAGUCCCAUCCGCAUUCCCGCCUACCCAACCUACAUAGUGUGAGUCACUUAAUAUUGCGAUCUGAUGAUAUUUAUUUUUAUUUGAAAACAUGAAUUUUUAAAUUUAAACUUUAUAAAUAUCGAAUUCGAUAUCAAAUUAAAUUGCUUAUUAUAUAAUUUUGCCAAAUUUUCAUUCCUCUUAAAAGAAAAAUAUCAAUAUACUCAACCAAAAAAAAAAGAAAAAAACCCCAUAGUGUGGAAGGCCUAUAAGCGACGAACACGUGGGAAGCCACCUCAACCCUAACCCCGCCUUCCUUUAUAAAUUCUCAAAUCCUCCACCUCCCGUUCCAGAAAACCUCCCCAACCCUUGCGAGCGGGUAUUUGCUGCUAUUACCUAACAUAACAUACCACAAAAUAUCUGUACACCCCCACCUGAGAUACAAUCCCAGAUCUGACCUCCCCACCGCCCUCCCUUUCUUCCCCGAUCGUCUUCUCUUCUCCAAGGUCCCUCUCAAAUCUCAAUCCCUAAUUCCCCAUUUCAUAUAAUAUAUAUACGCACAUGUCUCUGUGUUUGGUUGAUUGCAAGUUUUGAUUUUGAUGAUGAUUGUGCGAUGUGCAGGUUGAUCUUUGAAAACGAUGGUGUCGGACGCGAGCAAGAAGAAGGCGGCCCAGAAGAAGGCGGCGGCGGCGGCCAAGAGAGGUGGGAAGGCGGCGGCGGCAGCUGCUUCGUCCAAGUCGCCUGCGGCCGAGAACGGUGCUGAUAAGCUUGCCAAUGGAGUCGGGGCGAUGCAUAUUUCGGAUCGGAACUGCACCGGCGUGCUUUGCUCGCAUCCACUUUCUAGAGAUAUUCGCGUAUGUGUUUCAAUACGAUGUCGUCUUCAUCUCUUCCAUCUUAUUAGUAUAUAUGGUCUUUGACAUAGUAUAUUUAAUAUCAUAUUUAACAAAAAUAACAGGGCAUCUUCAGGAAUUUUUCCUUCCUUUUCAGAAAUUUAGAUUAUUUAUGUGAAUUGUUUUUACUCAGGUGAAUAGGUGUUCGAUGUUCCAUUUAAGUUUAUAUAUUUAUAUACUUAAUUUUUUUAAUGCAGAAAGGUAAUGUAAGAUGCGAUUAUCGUUGAAUGUGGUAGGAGAAAAUGCAAUAGGUCCAUGGGAGAAAUUGAUUAGUUUUUAUAAGCUGCGAAUAUGGUUGAAUAUUGCAGGAGAACUGUGAUAGAGCAAGAAGAAUUAGAUGUAGUGUUUUUCUUUUAUUUGCGUUGUAAUUUUAUUUAUUAAAGUUUAUUUCUUUAAGGUUUUAGUGAUAUAUUUAUCUGUUUAAUUUUAUAUUCGUCACUAUACGACGAGGUUCUGUAAUUGGUACUGUGUUUACAAGUUAGAAUAUUUGAUUUCCUAGUUUUUUUUAAGUUGUAAUCGAGUUUCGUUGUUAUAUGGUUGGUUUUAGCAUGGUGUCAUGUUUUGAAAACCUUUUAGGUAUUUUAAUUAAUGAAUAUCAUUCGCGCUCUAUUUUUUAAACAUCGGUUUCAGUUGUUUUCCUAACUGGAAUGGUUGAUGAUAGCGUGAAAUGACAUUUCUGUGACCAUUGCAGAUUGAGUCUCUGUCAGUUACCUUCCAUGGACAUGAUCUGAUAGUCGAUUCUGAACUGGAGCUUAAUUAUGGAAGGUUAGUUAUACAUGUUUAAUUCAAGUAUGUGUGUGUGUGUGUGUGUAUAUUUUUAUUUUUAUUUUUUAAUGAAUGGAGUAUUUGUUAUUCAUAUAGAUAUGCUAAAUUUGUGUAUUCAUGCUCCUUUUCAGACGCUAUGGUUUGCUUGGGUUGAAUGGGUGUGGUAAAUCCACCCUCCUAACUGCAAUAGGGCUCCGAGAGCUUCCAAUUCCGGAUCACAUGGAUAUCUAUCAUCUCAGUAGCGAGAUUGAAGCCUCAGACAUGUCUUCACUUGAGGCUGUCAUUAGCUGCGAUGAGGAGAGGAUGAGGUUGGAGAAAGAAGUUGAAGAACUGGCAGCUCAGGUAAGCUGUAGUAAUAUAAGAGUUAGAUUUUGGAGUACUUUGGUAUUAAUUAUUAAAAGAAUAGGGUAGUACAAAAAUCAGAGUUUGGUUAGUUGUUAAGUAAUGUGAAUAAUAUAGGACCCAAUAGUGGAAUUUCAAUGGGUGCUUUGUUUUAGGCAGCUUUCUACCUCACAGUUCUUAUGACUUAUGUUACUUAUUUUCAGGAUGAUGGCGGUGGAGAGCAGCUUGAGCGCAUUUAUGAGCGCCUUGAAGCAUUGGAUGCAGCAACUGCUGAGAAGCGUGCUGCUGAAAUUCUUUAUGGUCUUGGGUUUGACAAGAAGAUGCAAGCAAAGAAAACUCGGGAUUUUUCUGGUGGGUGGAGAAUGAGGAUUGCACUUGCACGUGCUCUCUUUAUAAACCCAACCAUCCUGUUACUGGAUGAGCCCACCAAUCAUCUUGGUAAGUUUAACUGGUUAGAAAUUUUAGUUUUUGUGUUAGAUUUUUCUUCUUAAUAUGUGUGUCGUUCUAUUUUUAUUCUACUGAAUAAAUUGAUUUGCAUGAAUGAAAAUGAGAAAAGCUUUGGGCUUUAACGUGUAGAAGUCGAUAAGAGAAAUAGAGUCUUUGUUUAUGGGUUAUAUUUCUUUUCUUUUUAAAUUGUUUUAACUUUGCAUGCCAUCGUGUAAAGAUUCUUUAUAGUGUUUUGUGAGAAAGCAAGAUGGAGAAGGAAAGGAGAGACCUAAAAGAGAGAAUACUUGGCCAUGGUCGUGCUGGCUUUAGUUUUCUGGUUUUGAGAUUUGAGUUGUUUUUUAUGUUCUAGAUCGUCUGUUGUAUGGCCUGUGAAAUCACGUUACCUACCACUUUAUAGUCCUAACCUUUUAGGUUCUAUUUUUUUGCUCAUUAUAUGAGCAGGAUAGUUCUCUUACAACUAGAGUUUCGUUGUAGCACCAUGUUUGGUGGUGUAGUGGGUUCCAUGUUUUUUAUCUAGUAAUAAAAUGUAUAGCCAGUUUCCAAGAUGGGUUUUAUUGGCCCACUUAUCAGUGGUUCGGAUUGUACAUAGAGGCUGAAAGUCAUGGCAGGAAUCUGAUAUUAGAAACAUAUCCCUUUUUGCUAACUGUUUUUCUUUAAGUUUAGGUUAAUUGGGGGUAUUGAAUGGUAAUUUUAACGAGUGUUAUGUCAUUCCUGAGCUGGCAAAGGGAGUUAUCUGUGGCCCAUCUCCUUUCCAUUGUCUUGUUAAUACAGAUUUGUCUAGAAUUUUUGGGACUAUUCAUUUUAGUUUUCCGAGUUAUCAAGAAUAAGUAAAGAGAGAUUGGAUACAUUUUUCCAAAUAGUACAACUUUGCGUAAUGAAAUUCUGACUCACCACCACCCCCAACAUUUUUCCUCUUGUUUAGGUUUACUUCUGAUCGGUAUUAGUUUGGAGAACUUAGUUCACUGUAUUGCUAUUCAGUGUCUGUGCAGCUGUUUGACUCCCUUAAUAUGUUAUUGUGUUCGUCUUUUGUGUAUGUGAAGAUACAUAUUUUAUAACUUCAGUCGCUCAUGGUUAAGUUGUCUUCCCUUGUUAACAGAUCUAGAAGCUUGUGUGUGGUUGGAGGAGAUGUUGAAGAAUUUUGAGCGCAUCCUGGUUGUUAUUUCACACUCCCAGGAUUUUUUGAACGGUGUCUGCACAAACAUCAUUCACAUGCAGAACAAGAAACUGAAGAUGUACACUGGAAACUAUGAUCAGUAUGUUCAGACCCGUUCGGAACUGGAGGAGAACCAGAUGAAACAGUAUAAGUGGGAGCAGGAACAGAUUGCUAACAUGAAGGAAUAUAUCGCUCGGUUUGGACACGGGUCAGCAAAACUAGCUCGCCAGGCACAAAGCAAAGAGAAAACCCUAGCAAAAAUGGAGCGUGGUGGGCUUACAGAGAAGGUGGCAAGAGACAAGAUUUUAAUCUUCCGUUUUGUCGAUGUGGGAAAGCUGCCUCCACCAGUGCUUCAGUUUGUUGAAGUCUCAUUUGGUUACACUCCUGAUAAUUUGAUCUACAAGAACAUUGACUUUGGUGUUGAUCUGGACUCACGUAUAGCUCUGGUUGGGCCGAAUGGAGCUGGAAAGAGUACCCUCUUGAAGCUGAUGACGGGGGAGUUGUUUCCUUCUGAUGGCAUGGUCCGGCGGCACAAUCACCUUAGAAUUGCCCAGUUCCAUCAGCACUUGGCUGAGAAGCUUGAUGUGGAACUGUCUGCCCUAGCGUACAUGAUCAAAGAGUACCCAGGAAACGAGGAAGAGAAGAUGAGGGCUGCAAUUGGUAAGUUUGGAUUAUCGGGUAAGGCACAGGUAAUGCCAAUGAAGAACUUAUCUGACGGGCAGAGGAGCCGUGUGAUCUUUGCUUGGUUGGCGUUUAGGCAGCCCCAGUUACUGUUGUUGGAUGAGCCGACCAAUCAUUUAGAUAUUGAGACAAUUGACUCUCUGGCGGAGGCGUUGAAUGAGUGGGACGGGGGCCUGGUUCUUGUUAGCCACGAUUUCAGGCUCAUUAACCAGGUAGCUCAGGAGAUAUGGGUAUGUGAAAAUCAAGCCGUGACCCGGUGGGGUGGCGAUAUUAUGGACUUCAAGCAGCACCUGAAGAUAAAGGCUGGUUUAGCCGAUUGAGACCGAUAUUGAAGUUCCAUCUCGAGCUUGUUGUAGUUGAUUUGUUGGCCUUGCUGACACCUGUACGAGACAGUACAGCGAGGAGGGCGUUUACUGUUUCUGAGACGUCUUCUCAGACUCUCCGACUACUAUGACGGAAGACGAGAUCGGAAAUGGGCCGAGGCUUGGUUAUUGUUUCAAGCCGGCGACAGAGCUUGUAUGGCCGUUUGCCCAGUUUGUAGGUGGUAUUUUUGUUUACGUUCCCGCAUGUUAUUAGUAUUAAUGCUUGGUUAGCAGCCGAGUCGUCGAACGUCGAUUAAGAUUAUUAUUAUGUAGUUUGUUAUUUUUAGCUAGACAAUAUUUCCCCUAUUGUAUCUUCUCUUCUUCCCUGAAACUGAAAGGAUAUGUUGGACUUGCUUUCUUCCAUUAUUUAUAUUUAUAAUUAUAAUAUUCGAAAAUUCCAUCUUUUCCGCCUUGGUUACUAGUCAAAUCAAAAUUUAUUUUGAGUACAUUUUUAAUAACUUAAGUAUUUAUUUGGAAUGUUUUAAAAAUUUAAGAUCAACUUGGAAUGACAUUAAAAAGUUACUAUCUUCCUGGUUUUAUUUCAAAACUAGCCCCUCGCACACAGGAUUUUUGAGGGUAUAUCAAUGGAAGGAAUUAAGCAAGCCUUUAUUUUUAAUUCCGAUACUUUUAAAUUCAUUCAUUUUAUUUUAUUUUUGAACAAGCGACAGUAUGGGUUAAUUACACUAAUACUCCUUGAAGUUUAUCGAGUUUUCACAAAACUUCUUCACGUUUAAGACAUUACACUAACAUCCUCUUAGAUUUUAAUUCUCUUUCAUACAACCCCUCAGUCAAAAUUUUGUUCAUAAAUUUACUAAUUUACCCUUAUUAAUUACUUAAAAUUAAUAAAGAAUAUUUUUAUGAUUAUAUAAAAAAAUUAUAAAACAUUAAAUACUUCAAAAAAAAAAAAAAAAAAAAAAAGAAGAAGAAGAAGAAGACCAUGUAGACAAAUCUCCCCCGUCCCCAACCACACUCAGUCCCCCAAAUCUCCCCUCCCUUCCAUUUCCAACCCCCCUCCAAAGUCAUCCAAUCACCCGACUUCCCCCGCUUCCACAAAUCCUUCUCUGCUGGUUCUAUAAUUUCUUCCUCCUAAAUUAGUGAGGAAUCAAAUAGUAGGAAUUUGACAUUAAUUACAAAUUAUUAUUUCAUUAAACAGAGAUCGUUUUUUGGUUGUUGAAAGUUUGAAUGGGUGGUGGUGAUGGAGGAAGAAUGAGGAUAUGAAGAUGGAGGUAGUUGCUCGAUCGAGUGGGAGGGAAAGAAGAAGAUGGAUAACUUCUUUUUAAAUAAAAUAUUAUUUUCAACGUAAAAAAUAAUUUUUUUUCUUAAUUUGUUUUGUUCACCUGGUUCUUUUUAUUUUUUAAGUGUUUUUUGUCAAAUGAAUUUUUUUUUUAGAUUUGUUACCAAAGGAGUUUGAACCUACACCAUCAUGCAAAAGCUUUAUACCUUUUUAUCAUUAUGGAAAAGAGCCACUUACUUUUUCUAAGUGUUUAAUAUUUUAUAUAUUUUAUAUAAUUAUAAAGUUUUUUUUUAUUAGUUUCAAGUAAUUGGUAAAUUUAUAAGCCAAAUUUUGACUCUAAGGUGUUAUUGAAAGGAAACUAAAACAUGAGAGGGUGUUUGUGUAAUGUGUCAAAUGUGAGGGAGUUUUGUGAAAACUCGAUAAAUCUCAAGGUGCAUUUGUGUAGUUAACCCAUAAUAAUAUCUACAUUAAAUGGGAGGGGGUGUCUUAGAUUCACAAUGGGCUACUAAUAAUGUUGUUCAAAUUUGUCUUUGGCGAAAAUCGAACUUAAAACCUCUCACUUACAAAUGAAGAGGAAUAACACUAGAUCGUAGAGAAACGAUAUCAUCUACACUAAAAUGUUAAAGAAGUAAGCUAAACUUCACAAUAAAUUACCAAUAAUAUGGUUUAAAUUCGUGUUUUGCGAGAGUUUAAAACUGCUUGAAGGGAAACACCAUUAUCAUAGGAUAUCCUCCUAUGGACUGGCGGUGACGGUGAUUGAGAGGGUUUACAGAGUUUUGGUCGAAGAAGCAGAUUGUUGUCGAGAAGAGAGAACAACAGCACACGCGUGUCAACAUGGUUUUCACAUGGGCGUUUACCUCAUUUUACUAUUGAAAAAUUGUGGAAGAAGAACAUUAAAACAAGGGUAAUUUUUUUUUUACAAACGAUAUUUUUUACACUAAAGGUAGGGAGAAUAAUGGAAAGUAAGCUAAAGAUCACAAUAAGCUAGCAAUAAUGUGGUUUAAAUUAUUCUUUCAUAAGAAUUGGAUUUAAAAUCUCUCACUUAUAAAUAAAAAAAAAUACCACUAGACAGUCGUUUAUAGAAUUUUCUGGCUUCACCUUGACAUACUAGAGAAAUAUUAACAAUAUCAAAAUACCUCUGGCUCUGCCAGUGGAUAAAUACACAGAUAUUGAAAAAGGAAUAAAAGGAAAAGCAAAAAACUCAAUGUAAAAGAUUGCAUAAAGACCAACUUAUUAUAUACCAUCAUCCAAAAUUAAGAAGGCCAAUCUUGCUCAAGAUCAUCAGUAACUCCGCACCAUAGAUUCACAAGAACCCCAGUUAACAUCACUAGAUGAGCCUCUCCCUUCCUCCUGCCAUUGCCGAUCGUCUAAUAUCUUCUCGAGCUCGCUUGGCUGGCAAGGAAUGGUUAGGGCACCCUCAUGAUCAAAGCCAUACUCCUCAGCUGCUUGUUCCAAUAGCUUCAAGAAAGUUGGGUGUGUCAAGUAACUCAAUGACAUCACAAAUCUCUUUGGUUCGUCUCCAUCCACCGCAAUCACGGCAAAGUGACCCUCCUUAACAUCUUCGGGCACAUUCGUCGAGUUAGCAUCGGAAUAAUUUGACGGUUUUGAUCUUCCCAAAGAUAGGCUUCUUUGUAGCUUUUCCACUACAAUUUUGAGCUUCACAAUGCUCUUAUUCUUCUUGCAAAUGCUUGUAGUUCUGGACUUAGCCAUUUUUUGUGCUUAUAACAAUUUCUUUUGGUUUAUAUGUUGGAUUGAUGGUAUAUUUGGUACGUUGGCUCACUUUGUUAUAUAUAGGGUUAGGAAGAUAAGAUUGUACAGUUUCUAUGUACAAUAUGUGACAUAGAGUAUAGAAUUAUCAGAGAGACGGACCAUAUGGCCCACUUCCAACAACACCGAUAUUGUCCUUAACUUGGUAAUUACCACCUAUACAAUCCGUCAGGUGUGAGGUUUUAUUACAAAAGGCCUCGGUAAUAGUUGGAGUAAGGUUUAAACUCUUAUUUUCUCAUUGAUACGAUCGAUGUGGGACAUUUCAACUUAGAGUUUCUAUGUAAAAUAUGUGACAUAGCAAGGAGUUAGAAAACUGACAAGUUGCUGACUGGGUGGAGUUCAAUCUCGGGGAGACCGUCCCAUGUGAGUGUGGGUGACUUAUAGCUUCCAACUUACCAUGAGACGUCCCCUUUCAAUUGUCAUGUCAGCCUCUUCCUCACCAAAAUCAUUAAACGGCACUUCUACUCUAGUCUACUACCACUGAUCUUUUUCCAUGGCCUUCCUAACCUUCUGCUUAUACAUCUCCUUAAGAAUUUAAGCUGUUUUAUGGUUUUGUGAGAGGCAUAGCCUAAUGCUUUACGGGGAAGAAUGUGGGUGGUUCUACUGAAUCAACUCUAUAUCUUAAUUACCUCAUGUUUGACAAAACUUAUUUUUUGGGGAUGUGGAGUGUGUUGUUCCAUGGUGGAAAAUUAAGUGACUUGGCAUGUAUUUAGCUACUUUUUAUAUAGUCAAUAAGUUUUGGGGUGAGACCUCAACUUCCUUAAUGGUUAAGUGUUGUUUCACAUCGAAAAGUCAAAAGAAUUCACAUGAUCUUAUAAGAAGUUGAUUACUUCCCCACUAUAAAGGGAAUGGGUUUUUACAAAUGGAUUAGAUACGAUAUAGUAGCUCACUAGAUUUCACGUUUGUUAAUGGGAUAAUGGAGGCUAACUUUGAAUUUUUUGUCCAAGUUGAAGUUAGAAGAUGGUUAGUAGUGAUGAAGGAAACUAAUCUUUAGCAAUAACAAAUACAUCUAAUUUCUUCAACGUGGACAAAAUUUGGAAGAUUGCCCUCAUCUUACUUUAACAUAUGAAUUUGGGUUAAUAUAUGAUAUAUCCAAUCCAAUCAAUUCUAGCAGUCAGGAUCGUGAUCUUCAAUACUGUUCAGUUAGGUCAUUUGCUCCUUAUGUCUUUUGAUUAAUGCAUAACACAUAUGAUCUUUCACUUUCCUUGCAUAAAAUGACGGCAUCUCUGCAGAUCCAUGAAGAACCUGGAGGCCAUACGCGUGCUUAUAACGAAGCACAUGGAGUACCCUGAUUUUGGCACCGAUUCAACUUUCAUCACACAAAUAUUUUGACGUGUGAAAUGCGUGUCGAUUAAACCUUGGUUCUGUGGUUCUUGUUGAAUUUCUUCAUGCAUGCAUGCAUUCCACCAGUUCCUCGUGUAUAUUAAGUAAAUGUUUUCUUUUCAACGUGCAGAAGUUUUUCCAUGUCCAUGAAAGGCAUCCUCGAUCAGUUUACAGUUCAGGAUUUGGCUUUUAUGAGGAAGCAUUUCUUAUUUUCUGACUCUUAUGAUCUCUGUGGUGGAUUUAUAGAAUGGAAAGGCAACUUGUCAGUCUUUGAUUGUUCUAACACUGUUUUUUCAUGUUGUUUUAUAGUGUCAAAAUAUUAUUUCUUUUAAAGUUUUAAUUGAUACUUUCUCAACUUGGUUUUCCCACAUAGUUUUUGUUUCUGUUUUUUCUAAUUGAAAACAAUAGCAAUUUUAUUUUAGGAUGCAAAAAUACAAUCAUCUACUGAAACAUUGGGAAUAAUAUCCGGAGCAUUCAUGUUUAAAAUAGAAGGUUAACUUGAUCAAUCAAUACGCCGUGGAAUUAUACGUUAAAUUUGGCUUCCCCAUAUAGCUUUUUUUUUUUUUCUCUUGAUCUAUUAAUUUUUUUCGAAAUUUCAACUUGUUAUGAAUUUUAUCUAUUAAUUUUUUUCGAAAUUUCAACUUGUUAUGAAUUUUAUCUUCCACUUGUCAUAAGGUAAAAAAUUGAGUGCGCUUGUAAUUAGUAGUGCCCUAGAAAAUUCGAGAGAUAUGGUAACGGAGACUUAUCCAGGGACAUAAUCUGUGGUGUACAUAAAAUGGUGCCAAGGACUUGAACCUUUGCUCUUACUCCGUCCUUUUUGUCCUGUCAUCUCAAAAUAUAAGUAAUAUUGUUAGGUACUUUUUGUCCUGUCAUCUCAAAAUAUAAGUAAUAUUGUUAGGUAGAUCAAUUUUUUAGAUUUACGAAUUAUGUGAUAUGUCAUCAAUAAAGAAUAAAUACGUUAAUCAACAUUUAUUUAGUAAUUCAAUUAUUAACCGUCAUAUCAUAUAAUUUACAAAUAUAAUUUAAAUAAAUAGAUCCGUAAUAUUAUCCUCAUAAUACAUAGACAAGUGGUCAAUUAUAAUUCUUUAAAAGAUUGGGCCGUACAAAAAGAGCCACAGCUUUCUCUACGUGUGUCAAAAUCCAGAUGCCUCUCAUCACAGUAAUGCAACAAUUUAAAUGCAUCCCAAAAUUUGAAGGUUAUCUCAGAAACUAGCAUAACCAAUGCAUAUACCAAAUUAAAUAAAGAAAAUAUCUUCUUGUAAACUAGCAUAGUUUGAUACAUAAGCUAUGUCGUCAUUCAUGGUAUGAACGAUUCAAUAUUACGAACAUCUAAAUUUUCAAUUCCGACAGUAAAAAGUUGAUCACAAACUCUUUAAUCUUUAAAAGAUAUACUAAUUAAUAGACUUGGAACCUUUUUGAAUAGUCUGUAAAUCAAGCUUCAUCUUAAAGAUACUCGUUUAAGAGAUAUUAGCAAAUCUUUCCCGCGGAUUAAGCCACAUUUUCUUUGAACUAGAACUAUAUCACACACCAUAUGGCAGAGGAUGAUAAAGUUGCCGUAUUUCUCAAUACUCAUCAACCAUUUUGUUUAGUGACAUUACGUUAUAGUCUAGAGUUUGAACCAUUGUAUUUAUAAUUUUGGGGCAUUGCAUCACCCCAAAAGCCACCAUUAGGUCAUCUUAUAAAUAUGGUUUUAGUGUAAGGGCCUCAAAUGCUUGAAUUUGCACACGUAAUUACUCACUCCCUCGUCUAGUCUUAUAUGUGCCUUUUCAAUCUCAAGGUCCACUAUUUUUGUCGAUGACAUGUAAUCAAAGAGAAAAAGCUCAGAAAGUAUUGUGAUAGCAAGGAAAAAGGUGAGUUUUGUGGGAUCAACUCUAGCUGUCCAGCCAGAUAUUUUGCUAUAAAAAGACCAAGCAAUGUAGGUUCGAUAAAUAGUGACACAUCGUGCCAUCAAUUAAUUUCAAGAUUGAUUCAUUAUUGAAAAAGGCCUUGACAUAGGCUCCAUGUGUUUUCUAAGCAAUCAAAUUAGUUAACAAGGUUGCAGAAGGAAAAAACAAAAAGGACGGUACUACUAGAGUGAAAAACCAAUCAAUCAAGAGACAAAUGCAAAAAAAAUGCUAAUGUGCGUGGUUGUAAAUUCAUUUUCCGACAUAUUCUAAUAAUGAAAUUGACAUUAUUGGCUAGUAUCGGCAUCCUAUUUACAGUAUCUAGUACAUUUCCGAUGUUGUUGUUAUCAAAUAUAUUUGACUGGUACAUUUGGUAGUUGGUGUGUAUUUUCCCUUGCAAAGUAUUUUCAUCCAAUUUUAGUGGUAGGAAAAAGGUUACUUGGGACAUAUGAAACUUUCAUUUAAAAAUUAUGUUAAGGGUAACAUAACUUGUAACAAUUCUACAAGAAGAAAAAUCCUAGCUGCCGACCUCUUGCCUCUAGUCUUGGGGUCGGCGAGAAUCUUUCUUGAUCUCUUCCCUUUCUUCCCUCUUUGUUUCAGUUGUGGUCGCUCUCUUGCACUUUCGAUGAGUCUUUAUGGUUGUGAUCUCUCUCUCCCACUUUGUCUAGUAGAAUUUUCGUGGUUGUGGUCAUGGUCACGAUUUUGGUGUUUUUUGUUCAACUCUUAGCAGUAAUGAUUGUUGUGGUUUAUGCAAUUAGCAUAUGAUUACGAGGAGGAUGCUCGAUGUUUAUUGAAGGUAACUUAUAGUAGAGGUUCUUAGCCGACAUUUGCAAAAUCAUCAGAGGGCAAUGCAGUCCUUCCUUAUGGUGCCUUUAGUCAAAUUGCAAAGUUUAGUCUUCGUGAUUAGAGUUUUGAGUUUAGGACUAACUGUCCGUUUUCUUUGAGGAAUUGUAUUCUCUUUUGAUGAGUUUGCAAUUAUAGGGUUCAGAUAAGAAACAGCAAGGUCCUACCCACUCUACAUAUGCAUGGAAAAGUCGUAAGAUUUAAGCGUGCUGUCAUGCUAUUACAACACAAUGCUAAAUUGCUAAUUUAGUCCUUUUUAUUGCUCUGUACAGGAAUGAAGUAGUUUACUUAUAGUUUAUGGCUAAUUCAGGGGUCUUGGAACCCCUCGACCGGAUACAUAUAUACAUAUACAUAUUGACAUUGCUCAGCUAGUAUGAUAUUUAUAUUGCAGAAUUUCUCACCACAAGUGGUGAAUUGGCUUAGUGGUCAGAAUCUUCCUCUUUAUUCAUUGCGUCAUACUCACUCUCUUUUUGUUCGGAAGUCCUCACACUCACUCGAACGUGGCAUUUUGGUUCUAUAUUCCUUAACUCCAUCCCCUUUUCUAUAACUCCCUCUACUUCUAUGUAACUUUAAGGGCACAUUUGAAAACUCAUCCCAAUACCUCAAAAGUUAAGUGAAAUAAUCAAAUAAAACGAACAAAAGUGCAAGGGAGGAGAUAUCUUGAACUUGAUCCACCCUAUUGUAGUUAAGAAGUUGAAAUUUUUGUUUGAUUAAUUUUUUGAAUUGCCUUAUUUGCCCUUAAAUUGUACAGAAAAAAUGGAUAAAGCGAACAAAUGCAUAUCACACAAGAAUAAGUUUGAGACCACUAAAAACAAAAGAUAAAAUAUUAGAGACGGAAAAAAUAUGGUGCCAAGAUCAAGAACCAUUGCUAUAAUUAAACUUCAGAUAUUUGAGCUUCCAAAUUUCUUUUGGUCUAAUAAAAGACCUUUUUAUGUAACGGGAACACAACGUGGCGGUCAUGAUUCUCUUACAAUCAUAGGCACUACAACAAUUCAAGAGGCUAACUCAUAAUUUAUGAAUGAAUGAGAAAGAACAUGAGCAGUCGAUCGACAAUCAUGAGCCAAUCAUAACAACAGAAAAGAAUUUAUUUGUAUUAACACAACGAAAUGUAUGAAUAUCCCAACAAAAUCUGGAUCCCUCGUACCUACAAUCUCUAUCCCCCUAACCAACCUCACAACCCCAUUUUUCUCUGGGAAAAAUAAAGAAUAAAAACUACAGAGUAAAUUUCUUGUAUGCUAAUUCGACAUAGUAGGCACGUUUAAGUGAACUGCCCUUUAUAUGUAUUCCUAAAUUCUAAAACAAAAAUCAUUUUAACCUAUAGAGGAAUUUGGUACGACAAUCUGUAUGUAUCCUCGGUCAGCAGAUUACUCAUAUAUGUAAAAAAGAAAGUGCUCACGGGAAGCUCAUGAACGUAAAAGAAGCUGAUUUUGGGAAGCUCUCUUCACUGGCGAAUGCAUUUUUCGUUCAGGACGUUGGAGCACCAUUUACAAACACAGAAGGCUGUAGAAUAUGAGCGGUAUGAAUGCAUUAUCAAGUUGUGCUGUGUAAGCCUCCAACAUACCACUUACGGCCACGGCUAGGAGAAGAGAGCACCAAUGCUGAAAAAGUUGCACCAAAAGCAUAUAUAAACCACCAGCAUUAUCAACCAUGCGGGCAAAAACCCGCAGCACAAAAUUAUCCUAAUUCGGUGACAACUAGAUGUGUAUGCACUUUGUUUCCAAUUAGCAAACACUAAUGGACAAGAGUUUCUUGCACAUGCAUGACUCAUCUGGUUCAUAGAGUGCACCUCAACUCACUAAGUGACUUGACACUGUAAUGUCCGACCAAUAAGUAUCUUAUGCACGAAAUCCUUUUCUAAAACCCGUUUAACAAAAUAACCAGUUCAGUUAUAGCUAGUUUGGCAGAGGGAGAGAUUGAUAGAUAUGCACACCUCCGUAAGAAUAUAUCCAGUGGAUGAUAGAAGGGGAAGCAGAACUAAGAAAGCAGCUAAGAUAGAUGUAAACACCUUUUUGGUGACAUACAUUAAGCAAAUUAAUGGAAACACCUUUUCGGUGAAAUUAAUUAAUACAAAUACCUACUGCCAGUUUUGCUCCACCUGAGGACACCAUACUUUUACCCAAGGACUGAUGCCUGGACAUAAAAGCUGAACCAAUACAAUAACAUUAAGAAAUAGUUGUUUCCUGUCCUGUUCUUCUAGUGCAAGUACACUCACCAUUGUAUCUCCAAUUCCGAGAUCCAAAAUUCCAGAAAAAGGAUCAAGGGGUUGAUCAAUGUACCCAGAAGACAUCCAUAUAGGACGAGCGCAUCCCAAUAAGAGCGAAAAGUGGCGGACAAAACAUAUAAUAUAAAAGACAAAACUCAUGAGACUUAUUUGAAUCAAACUUAUGAGAUUAAGGCUUUGAUCUAGGGGGGAGAAGGAAUCCCAUACCUGACAAUAAGAAGAUCUGAGUCACGAUGAUCAGUGAAAGCAUUCAUAAAUUUAUUUACAGAUUGUCCUAAUCGCCAAAUUCUCCAUACCUUGUACAAAGAUAGUCAAGCAAAUGAUAUAAGAAGAUAGACUUCAAAACAAGUUUAACAUCCCCAAUUAUAUACAUGCACACACACUCUCUCUCACACACACACCCACUCACCCACACACAGACAAAAACAUGUUUUUAAAGGAAUCGCCUUUCCAAAUAUUCAAAUACAGGAUUUUGACUUGGAAAUAUUGUGUCCUCAACAAGUGGAUUUUACUUAUUGCAUAAGACACAAAUUUUAGACAUCAACAUAAGGUUUUAGUUUGAAAAUUUACUCGAAUAAUUUCCAAUGCCAAGAAAACUGCCAAAGCUGCACAAAUGAAAAAUCAAGAGACUCCGGCUGCAAAAGAAACAUACAAGGAGCAUAUAUAAACACACAUAAUUAGAAUCGCGAUAAAAAACGUAUACUUGGAUGACAAUCAAUCUUUAGUCCUAAAUUACCUGGAAGAUAAGAGCAGGCACAAACAUUGACACAGCCAUCAGAUGGUAGUAUUUUCGGAGUAGAAUCCUCUCAAUCUUGCUACUUUUUGAAAUGUUGUAGAACCUCAGAACAGAAAUAAAUAUCACACAGAUCCAGUAGGCACACAAAGAUAAUCUCUUAAGUGGUUCUGAAAAAAUAUAUGAAAGUACCCUGCCAAAAGAAAAAAGAGAUUUAAUGCCGACAUAAGACAGCCAUCAGAAAGAAUAAACUAAUCUUUUGUAAACAGAAUCAAAACUAUAAUCGCUCACAGCAAAUAGCCAACUUAUGUAACAAAAAAAAAAAAAAAAAAAAAAAAAAAAAAAAAAAGGAACCUUAUACAAGUCUUAAGCCAUGCAAAGUUCACCGACCAUAAUCGAGAUCAAUUACCACAAUUCAUGGGUCUCUGGCAGUCCGGUUCCUUGAAACUGGAAUUCCAGUGUACCAUGAUAUAUGGAGAAUAAAAAGUAGAUUAAAUGUCAAAAAUAAAUAAAACUUAAAAAACUGAAAAUUCUGUUGUACCAUGAUAUAUGCAAUCCAUUGAUUUUAUGGACUCUAAUUUAAGUAUUUAUGAAUUUUUUAGCACAUGGAUGGAUGUAGUCAAGUUGUGUGCAAGGAACCAAAGUGAUAUGUGUAAUAUUGAAAACUUACAACUCUAUAUUAGGUAACCUAGUAUACGCUAUGCGCCAUACACCAGGGCUAAGAGCACAUCAAAUCCGAUGCCAGUACCGCAAACCCAAACAUAAAAAAGAUCCUAAUAACUCUGGUUUUGGUAGAACCUACCAUUCAACUAUGUGAAUUUUUUUUAAUAACAAAGGUGGUAGAUGUGUUUUAGCACAGUUGCAAACACACAGAAAGUGUAACAUAAAGAAAGUCCCAGUAACUGCAAUUAUGGGUGAUCACAACCAAUGGAAAGCCGCUUUGCUGUUAUCACUAAUUUCAAAUUCUUGACUAAGUCAUGCUAUGCAACUGUGCACACCAAUACUAAGUGAGACUUAAUUCAGAGGUUAGUUUGAUAUCAACUAGCAUGCAGACCCUUUGAUGUUUUGUUCCCAGACUGCAGCAGUGAUUUUCUAUUAAAUACCAUUGAAAGCUUGCAUUCCACACGUCUGUGAACUUCAGAACCAGUUAUGUGAAAUAUAAACCACCUAACUAUGGUGAAACCAACCGUAACCACCAAAUAGAACCUAAUAACCAUGUCCUAUAGAAGAUAAUAAAAAAUCCAGUUGAAGUAACAAGUAUAGAAUAAAUUAUUCGAAAAGGUUGUACCAUAACAAGGGAUGCAUAUGAAAAUCCUGAACCAACUGCAUCCACGAUGGAAUGAUCACAAUCAUGAUAAAUCCAAGUGAAGAAAAGAAGAUAACAGAUCUCCAAAUCCCGUUGUUUGUCCUCACUUCACAUUCGGAGAACAAAUUUAAAGGCCAUUGGGAAAAGAAGGCCAAGCAGCAACACCUGCAUAAAAUAGAAUGAUGGGUUUCCAGCCAGACCACUUGCGAUCAAUUUCAUCUAUUAAGAAAGCAUACCUGCAUAAUAAUACUAAUCUCACUUCAUUUACUUCCAUAAUGUAACACCUCUGAUUUCAUAAAAAAACCCAGACAUCUGUGUGAGAAAUGUCAUAACCAAUAGGAUGACUACAUAUAAGCAGUUUGACCAGAGAAAAAAAAAAACCAAUUAGAGCAGAAAAGAAAUAACCUUUUCAAUGGUAUAUGCCAAUAUGUCACCAAAAUAGAGAACAAGACCUGAAGUCGCUAAACACGCUUCCCCUAGAGAGAAACAAAAGACAUGCAACAUCAACAUCUACUGAGAAAAAACCAGAGAAAUACCCCAAAAUAAUAAUCAUCAGAGAGAGGUAUAAAUACAAAGAAAAUAAAGUGAGGGAGAGAGAGAGAGAUCUGCACAUUAGCUGACUAAUGAUAUAGCACUUCAACUUGAAGUGUUCAAUAUGAAUUAAUUAAUGUCAUACUAUUAUGGAUAAAUAACUUAAAUGUCCAGACGAACUUAUCGACUGGGCAAAUGCAUAUUCGUGUUUUUUUAGUUGUGUAACCACUGAAAGCCACUAAAACAUGAGGGGAACAUCAGCAAGCAGUGAAUAGUCAAUCUAUUCCUAUGAAGCUAUAGCAACCAUUUCAAUUUAGCAGUUACGUUUUGUCCCCUUCAAUCAAUAAGAAAAAUUCCAUUGCAUUUUGCAAGAACAAGUAAGUGAAAUAGAAAAAGUAGCAAGGCAUAUACCAAUGGAAGAACAUGAUGGGAAAGUUCUAAGAACAUGCUGAAUUAAUUUUACAGCUGCCAAUCCAUGAGAGAGGAUCCAUAAUAACUUUAAUGCAGUCUCAAAGCCUGUAUGGAAUGAGCAGAUCAAGUUUCAGUUUUCCAAUUACUAUUGGCUUAAGCAUAAGUAGAGAACACUUUCCAUGUUAUCAAUUCAGAAAAGAGGAUUCAAAGACAUGCAGGAAACUUACUUGUAAGAGAUACUGUACCAAGAGUCAGACAGCACACUGCAUUGUGCAAUAUUAUGCAACUUAAGCUAAACUUUGCAUGCCUAAUACUACGUGAAGGUGGAGCAAUAUUCCCAGAUGCACACGAUAUGGUUAUGCAGAGAAAAAUCAGCACACACAGGCAGCUGGCAGAAGCAGCCCAGUAUCGCAUCGUCAAAGAUUCAAGUUCUGGAUGGUAACAUUGAACAUAUCAUCAGCAUAAUAGAGAGGAACCAUAUCAGACAAGGGUGAGACGAAACAGUGGGAAGCAUGGAACCCUAUCAGAUUGUAAAAUCAAUUAAAUGCAUCAUAUGAAAAAGUUUACCGGUUAACACAAAACGUUUCAAAAGUUUACAUCCAGAGAGAGAGAGAGAGGCAGAAUUAAGAAUUAAGAAUCAACAUUAUUUUCUCUUACUAUAGUAGCCGACAUUCACCUCUCCCAGACCCUGCGUAAAGCGGGAGCCUUGUGCACUGGGUACGACCUUUUUUUUUUAUAGUAUCAAGUGCAAAUUCAGCAGAAUUAAGAAUCAACAUAAAUAUGUGGUUAAAAAAGGAAUUACUUCAAAAUACGCAUAAUUAUUCUCAUGUGCAAAUGGAAGGUUUCUUUUGAUCUUCAGACACAAGAACUCCAUUUUCCCAUCUCAUCUAUUCUUUCAUGCUUUUCCCCACUAGCCACAUUUCAAAUCUAGUCAAAUAUCGCCUAUUGCCUUAUCUAUAGUAUCUGAGGUAAACUAAGAAUUUACCAUGACACUGUGUCAGACCUAAUGUAACAACAUUAUCUUAUUAAACCCAGUUGUCCGAUAAAUAGCACAGGCUUCCAAAAUCCCAAAUGGCACAAGGUUGAAUAGCCCACAGAAUUUAAAACCAGAGCAUGUUCACAUGAUCAACAGAAUCCAGUCACAUUCAAUCGUGGACUCCACAAGGGAUCCCACCAGUAACGAAAAGUUCAUGUCUAUUACUCAAACAUAACCGUAAAGGUUUGAACUUUUCCAGCUAAUCUGUACAGUGAUGGAACUCAAGAUGAUACAUUUACUAAUUUGAUGCUAAUUAAGAUUAGGAGCGACGGAUAACGGUGAAUUGAAAACUACACAAAGUACCUUCAAUAGAAACUUGGUGCAACGAAACCGCCAGCGAAAGCUGUAUCGUUUUGGAUAUGAAAACAGUGGGCAACGCGACAGCCCCUAACAGUAUACCCGACGAAGCACCAGGCCUGAAACAUUAAAAUUACAGUCAAUGCCCACAUUCAACACUGGACGAACCCUAACAAGAGCAAUUGAAAAAACUGAAGGAGAAGAGUAGGAGUAGUACCUGGUGCUAAAUUGGGAGAGGGAGGUGGAAGAAUCAGUGAGGAUGUCGAGGGAGAGGGCGAGGAGAGAGAUGGUGAGAGAGAAGAGGACGCGAGAAAUGAACAGCAACACCACAGCUCUCUCUCCGUUCAUCAUUCCGGCCAUCGCAAAUGCCAUGGCCGCCAUUGAAAUUGGCGAUCCUAAGCUUGUUCUAUCUUCGAGACGACGGAAUUGGAAUCGAUUGAAGGAUCGGAGAAAGGACCGAUGAGAGGUAGGAGUCGUUGGGUUUUUUUCGCGGGAAUUGGCACCAACUUGUCGCCUUUUUCCUUUGUUUUUUUUUUUUUAACAAUUAAGAUAUGUCAUUUUAAAUUGUUCUCAACCUUUUUAAAUACUAAAUAAAUAUCCAACUUAUUAAAAUGUCACAUUUGUUAACCCCAAUUAAUUUUUCAAACAUGAAUUAUAUUUCAAGCGCCCCAACUGGUUAUAUACUAUGGACAAUAUUAACAUUGAUUGCCUCAAAAUCUAAAUUUCAAAUAUAAAUUAUACAAAAUAGAACCCAACCAAAAAGGUAUUGAAUUGUCGAAAAUAGACCCAAAUUGAAGUUACAUCAGUAGGGCAAUCUCUUAACAGAGAAGAGGUUUAAGAUUUCAGAAAGGGUUUCAAGGAGUUGUUCCUGCUCAUGUGAUUUCCUUAUUGUGACGAUUCUCGAUUGGUAAAGCUUCUAGUUCUUCUUUGCGGACGAUGAAGAUGGUGGUCGUCACAUCAUGGCAGUUCAUACCAUUUCAGCAACCUCUAUGACCUUCUUGAUAUUGGCAGCCUAAGUUGUAGGGUGGAGUUGGUGGUUUUGCAUUAAGUUUGAAGGUGAUAACAUGAUGCGGGUGGUGGUAACUGUUAGUUGGUGAAGGCUAUGCUUCCAUGACCUUCUAUUGAUUUUGGAGACAAAGUAAGCCUACUUAAUUUAACAAACUUUCAACUGGGGUUAACAGAUGUGACAUAUUCAAUAGGUUGAGUGCUUAUUUGGAAUGUUAAAAAGCUUUAGACCAAUUUAGAGUGACACUAAAGGUUGGGAGUUCUAAGUACUUAAUCCUUUAUUUUAUUGUGGUCUAAUUCGACUAUGACUUUCAAACAUAAAUAAAUAACCCUGUAAAAAAAAAAGGUACCGCUAUUUACAAACUAUUUUUACUUUUCAUACACCUCUCUCAAUUUUUAUUUUGACAGCAACCAAUCAAACACGACCGAAGACGUUUGGCAGCCACCGACUGAAAUCAGUGGAAUAUUUCGGCAGCCACCAACCAAGCUCAACCCAAGUCGUUUGGCAGCCACCGACCAAGCCCAGCCCAAGUCGUUCGGCAGCAAGCGCCUACGCCAGAAUCAACUUGAAGGAUGUCCUGAAGAGACAAUAUAGUAGCCAACACACACAGCGCGUAACAAGCAUGUCAACAAAAUUAGACAAAUAACAACAGAAAAAACAUCAAAACAUUACUACUCCAAUGCAUCUAAAUAUCAUUGUAUAAAAACACAAAUCAUCUGUAAGCAAAGUCGGUGAUAAAACAUUUCAACUCGAUGCAUUUUAAAGUCCAAUGCAACGCCAUUCGUCUCAAUAUCAGUUUUAAGUCUUCAACUAUGUCAUAUCCUCUAAGUAGCUCACAUUACUGACUCCUAGCUCUUAGAUUUUUACUUUAUGAGCAAACUCCCCGUUGUUUAACUGCGUCCAGGCUCCUUUCUCUUCUCCACUGUAGGUGAUGUUAAGAAAUCCGUCGUCAUCCUUAUUUGCCUUAUCGAUUACAUACAUCGAGGUACCUGUGUGCAACAACAUUGGACGAAAUUAGAGUUAUUACCACAGUUUGGGAACAAGAUGGAUGGAUAUCCUUAUGCCGAUUGUCGCUCUAAAACAAAAUAUUUUGGCAGCUCUGCUUACCAGCGGGAGGAUCAGUGUUCUUGAAAUAGAGAAACAAAGGCUUUGUCCAUGGCCUUCCUUCUUUCCACUCGAUCCGAAUCCGAAUAAACUCAAUAAAUUCGCUCAGAGGCAAAUCGAAAUGAACUUGGAAUCUGCAGUCACAAACACAGUGUAGGCGAUAAAUCUGUGUGCGAACCCCUUCACAUAGACAAGCAAUAUAACUUACUUAUUUCUCUUCCCUCUUUUUUCUGACCGACUUCGUAACGAAUGACAUAACAAAAGGAAAGCAAAAAUAAAGCAUACGUAUAAAAGGGGACAAUCUUGUUCACAAAUCAAGAAAAUAAAGCAAAAAGAUGUCGGGAACUAACUUCUUCAUGCAAAUGUCAGGAAUUUUACUGCUUGUAUCCUUCUUCACAUUCACCUGCACAGCACAAAGACUCAAAUUACAAGAAGGUAUUAAUUCAUAGAGAGAAUUAACACAUUUGACGUGGUCAAAUUCUUACUGGUAUAUGAUCUGGUCUUUUCUUCCUCAACAGCCAAGGAUUUAGCUCACGCUCUUGGCAUAACUCCCAUAAACUGAACAUAACUCAAAACCAUACAUGUAAAAUUAACUAACCCAUCAGUUUCAAUUUAGAACUACAAAUCAAGAGAAUUAAAGCACAAGGGAACUGGAAACUAACUGCUUUCCGAUAAAAGUGGAUAAUUCAGCAGCAGGUUUUCCCUCGAGCGCAGCCUUCUCCUCAAGCUGAGCCUACUCCGCCAUCACAUGCAUAGCAAACUCAAAUUAGAACGGUAUAUCCCUGGAAUGUGUAGAACGUAAAAAUACUCGAUACAAGUUCAAAUUCUUACCAUAUGCUCCUUGUUAAGAUGAUCAUUCCAAGUGUCUAACAUAACAAUGCCUUUUGACAAAAUAAAAUCCCCUUUUAUCCUACAAGCAUAAGUGAAGGGAAUAAUCUUAUUCCAUAGUAGCAAAUACAAAUCGAGAUAUUUAAAGCACAGUGAAUUGAGUUGAAGACUAACUUCCUCUUCUUCAUCUUGACGACCUCGCCAAGAAUUAAGUCACACAUUUGAGCGUCAUACUCAACAAUCUACGUAAAACAUUCAAAUUAGAACAGGAGUAUGUUCAUUGAAUGACUAAGAAAUAAACAUGUGUGAACUACAAUUCUUAAUGGUAAUUUAUCAAUGCAUCUACUGAGUACCCCUUUCUCUUCUCCCCCGCUAUAGGUCAUGUGAAGAAAUCCAUCUUCACCCUUAUUUGCAUCAUCAAUUUCAGACAUCAAGGCCCCUGUAACAGAGCAAGAAGAAGAUAGUUAUUAAAACAGCAGUUGAUGCGGAAUCAGGAUGAAUAGUAUUAUGCCUUCGGCAAAAAUGGAUUGCAGCCAUGCUCACCACUGUGAGGUUCAGUGUUGUUGAAAUAGACAAACAUAGGUUGGCCUGCUCGAAUUCGAACACAAUUUCGAAUAUAAUUAACAAACUUUUUGAGAGGCACAUCACGACGGACGUGGUACCUGCAGUCAGAGACACACAAUAGGCCAUAAAACCAUGCACGAGCCCCUUCAUCCAAGAUAGGAUAUGAAGACAAGUUAGGUUGGAGUUUGCCUAUGCAAUAUCAAGCACAUUUUCUUUUUUGCAUGCAAAUGUUAUAUAAUUACAUGGAGUAUGAAAAUUGUUUGGUAGGAAGUCGUCGCUGCCUAGGCAGCCAUUUCGUGUUAACCACGAUGUAAAUAGUCUUAGAACAUCACCUGAUGUAUCAGAUCAAUCACCCCCCCCCCCCCCCCCGGUCCACGUCGUUUUUGUUUUUUUUUGUUGUUUCGUUUUGUUUUCACACGUGACUAAAUGCUAUCUGUGGGCAUGACAAGUAGUACUGGCCCUUCAAGAUGGAUUUUGGAACAAAUGAUAUACCGAAAGUAUACAUAAAACAAGGGACAAUCCCAUUCCAUUAUAGUGAUAAACAUAAAGAUAGCCAAAGCAAAAGAGGAAUCCGAGACUAACUUUGUCAUCUCCAACCCAGGAAUGUUACUCCCUGCAAGUUUUCUCAACGCUAACCUGCACGGAAGCUCAAAUUAGAAUAGGGACAGGUUAUUACCUCCAUUGAAUGCAUAGGAGGAAAAGAAAAUGAAGAAAAAACCAAAACAACAUAACGAUGCAGUCAAAAACUUACUGGGACAAGAUCUGGUUGGCUAUCCCUCAAUUUCCAAGCAUUUAUAGUGUAUUCAUUGUACUCCUCCAAAAAUGACCUGAACAUACAUCAAAAGCGUAGAUGAGAAAAAUAACGAUCCCAUUAUUCCAUUUCCAUUGCAUCGAAGCAAACGAAGACAGGUAAAGCACAAGGGAGCUGGAAACGCACAUUGCCUCUUUGUACGAGGUAGAGGAGAGAUUUACGUCUGUGAGCCUAGAUUUGUCUGCAUGCAUAGCCUUGUCCGGAAUCAUGUGCAUAGGGGAUCAAAUUAGAACAUAGUAUCCAUGCACACACAAUGCAUAAGUAGGGAGUAGGACGGAUGUAAACAUAUAUAUAUAUAUAUAUAUAUUAGAUUCAGCUCAAUUCUUACCAUGCUAGCCUUGUAAAAUGAAGAGUUCCAAUGGUCCAAUGGUUCAAUGGGUCUCGGAAUAACAGUAACUCCUGGAAUCUCGCAUCUGCAGAGAAUGUUCCCUGAAAAUUUCAAACAACAAAAACAUGAUCAUCACAAGAAGAAGUCGUCUUCCAAAAUAAAAUUACAGAGUACAGAAGGCAUCACAUCACAAAGAGUAAAAAUAAUUCGCUACGUUUCUGUUCAGAUGCUUGGGACUUUUGAGCGUACGUCGAUCGUCAUUGUGUUUUCAAUAUUAUUAUUAUUUUUUAUUUAUUUUCAUAAUUUUUUGUGGGUCGUCGUCUUGGUUUUUCAAGUCUAGUGCUGUAAAUUUGAGUCGCUCAUGGCGUUUUGGGAUUCCAAAAUCACCAGCAUGUAUCAACUGGUGGUAUGCUCGAUUGCAAUUUUAAGACGUUGAGUGCUGUUUUUUUUUUUUUUUUUUUUUGGAAACGGUUGAGUGCUGUUGUUUUGGUUAUGUGGUUGCGGGGUGUUUUAUAACCUCAAUUGGUGGCUGUAGGUAUCGAUAACCUCUGAAAUUGCAUCAAAAAAGAUCAACAGGGAUGUCAUUAAGCAGCUUGUUCGUCUGUUCAAGGAGUCUCACCUGGGAACAAGGAAGAAAAUAUCGGUAAUAUCGAAAAUAUCGGUAGUCCGAAAACACGGAAAUAUCGAUGGAAAUAUCGGGAUAAUAUCGAUAUCGAUAAAAAUUACAUAGAAACCACGGAAAUUGUAAGAAAAACUUGGAAAUUUUUAAUGAAACUUUGCAGGAUGUUUAUUUAGUCAAUUAUCUAUUAGUUUAUCACAAAAAAUUGGAAGGAAAUGCAUUGCAUGAUGGAUUUAACUGAUUUAAGUUGAUUAUAUAGCGAGCUGACAAAUUUUUCACUCUUUAAGGUUCAAAAUUUUCACUCUUUCCCUGAAAUUAUAUAUUUUCACUUUUUCCCUGAAAUUGAGUCCUUUAUCCUAAUCUAAUCUGAACCCCCAGAUUAAUUUAUAUUUUCACUCUUUCCCUGAAAUUAUAUAAAUUGUACAAUUGAGUCUUUUAUCCUAAUCUAAUCUGGACCCUCCAUCUUGAUUCUCACCCUCUGUCACGCUGCCACGUGGCAGACCACUAACCUCACCCUAUCUCUCUCUGUCUCUUUUCCCGAGUCCCUCUCGGACCCCUCACCUCACCCUAUCUCUCUCUCUCUUUUCCCGAGUCCCUCUCGGACCCCUCACUCUCUCUCAGUUCUCAACUCUAUCUCUCUCUCGAACUCUCAUUCUCUCACCCCAUUUUCUCCGGCGCCGACUCUGGCUUCGGCUGGAGUCGGUUGCCCUUUCCCCCUUCCUCCUCCUGUUUUUCUCUUGUUUUUCCCUUCUCGGUCUGUUCCUCUGUCUUUUCUUCUUUCUUUUCUUCUUCUGUUUUUCUUUUUGCUUUCUCCUGCGUCCUUUCCCGAUCCGGCCAUGUCCUCUACCCACCCCCAGCGGCGAUCAUCCUCCUUCAUCUUUCAGAUCCGACAUGCAACUGCUUUCAAACCGCAUUUUGCUGCGCGGUAUUUCGAGAGGGUGCGUUGAGAUCCGGCAUGCAGCUGCUUUCAAACCCAGCCGUCGACACCACUCCAUAACCGCCUUCUAAACCACCUUGUUCCAUGGAGAAGCUGUGUCGUUAGUCCCAGUCGUCGAGUCGUAACUGUCGCGUCAUAGCAAAUCAACGAUUGUGGAGAAACUGAGCGGAGGCAGCGGACACCGGACGAUGGACCGAAAUUCAUCGUAGUCGUCGGUGAGGAGCACGACGUUGUCCCAGCCGUCUUGGAUUCGUGAGGAAGACGACGUUCCCAGGCUCCUACUUCUCUUCUUCUCGGUUUGUAAUUUAAUUUUUGUACAGAUUUCGAAUUUUCUGCAUGUAAUUUCAUUUUUGUACUGAAUUCGAUUUUAGGGAUUUAGGAAUUAGGGAUUCAGUUCAUUUGCUUUGAAUUCGAAUUUGGGGAUUUAGGGAUUCGGUUAAUUUGCUCUUGCGUUCUUCUCCGAUUUGAACAGUUCCAAAAUAUCGCGAUAGUUUCGAAAAUAUCGCGAUAUUAUCGAUAUUAUCGAUAAUAUCGCGAUAUUUUGCCGAAAACAAUUUGGAUAGUUAAAAAAAUAUCGGAACCCCAAAAAAACGAUAAUAUCAGCGAAAUAUCGCCGAUAUUAUCGAUAUUUUCUUCACUGCCUGGGAAAGAGAAAGCCUGCAGCUUACGAUGGCAUGAAAAGUGUUCAUACAGCAGGGCCCUUACCAUUUUCCAUGAAAGAGUUUGUGGUCAAGUUGGCCGAAACGGAUGGACGGCAGGGUUCUGCUGCUGCUGGUCCCAACAGGUAUAAUCUGUAUCAGAGUUCCGUGCUUGUGUGCUGUUUUGUUUACGUAUAUAUUUUGUAGCUGUUGCAGUUUUCUGACUCUUUUCUUCUCUGUAUCUGGACGGCUCAUUAUUUACUUUCGUUUGAGCUAUUUUGAUUGAAUUUGCAAUAUCAUAUAUCAAAAGGGGUAAAUAUGAAAAGAAAAUCAAAUUGAGUUAUGACGGUGUUCCAUGGUAGCACAACAAACAUUAAUAACUUAUUAUCCAUCUUUGCAUUUUACCUUCAGUCUAGAAGACAAGAGUAGAAUUUCACCCUGCGUAAAGCGGGAGCCUUGUGCACUGGGUACGGCCUUUUUUUUAGUAUUUGUUUCCGGUUUUUGAAUGUUGUUUUCUUUGCAUCAGAAUGGCUCACAGGAGGGGCCGAGAGUUCAAGGUCACUCUCAAAUUGGCUAGCAAACACGACCUGUACCAGCUGCAACAGUCGCUACGAACCGGGCAACAUGAGUCGCCUCAAGACGCAGCUCAAGUUCUGGAUGUUGUUCUUAGGGCCACACCUGAUGAAAAGUAAAGUCUCUAUUUAGUACAAUGGCAUAAGAUUUCUUUUGUCCUUGUAUGCGUUGUUUAUUCACUGACGAUGGUUUUGAUCCUUGUAAUUUCUAUCACAGGUACACUGUUGGAGGGAGGUCUUAUUUCACCAUUGAGCCUUGGCAGAAAGGUGAUCUUGGUGAGGGUCUGGAAUACUGGAGAGGCUUCUACCACUAAGGCCGACUCAGUAUGGGUUUUGGCUCAAUAUAGGUUAGGCAUUGACCAAAAUUUCUUUGUUUUGAUAAUCAUUAGAACUUCAGUAACAAGAGUGUUGUGACUAACUUUUGUUGUUCAUGUAUUUGCAGAUGUAUCGGCCGGAGCAUUUUAUGAACCUAUUCUGGUAACUGAGUCUGUGAAAGAACUUUUGAACUACAGAGAACUGUCAAGGCCUUUGCCUGAUCGUGAUCGUUUGAAGGUACACUCCAUUUUUGUGUUGAUUUUUUUUCAUGCAGUUUUGAUAGGGAAAUUAUCCAAAAGUAAAGCUAUAUGAAGAAAAAAAAAAUACAACGUGAAUAUGAUGAAUUGAUAGUUUGUUGUUAUAUUUUACCGGUCUGAAAAACGAAAUACAAGUUCUGUAUACUAGGUGUAGCUUAUAUUUACCCGGAUUUGCUAGUAUUUAUGCUCAUUCAGUUUUGAAGCUGCAUUCUGUUUUAGCAUGUAAUCAUUUGCUUUUAUUUUGAAUUCACUUGUUGAUUUCGGAUUCACUUCCUUUGGAUCAGGUGUAGAUAUUCACGUAGAUUAAUUUGUUCGGAGUUUUAUGUAUUUACUUGUAUUUUUCCAUAAAUGGUUACUUAAAGUAUUUGUGUUGAACAAAACUGAUUGGUAUUCUGUUACUUACAGGUGGAGAAGGCCUUAAAGGGGUUCAAGGUAGCACUUUCUUGUCGUGAUAAUAGAUCUUACAAAAUCACUGGGGUCUCAGUGGAACUGCUGAGCAAGUUGAUGUGAGAGUCUCGUAAUCUUCUCGACGUUUAUUCUUAUAUCUUGUUUAUACGUAUGUAGAUUGUUGUGGUACUUGACUCGCUUGAAAUGUAGAACUAGAACUUUCAUGCUCAUUAUCUACUUUCAUUUGUGCUAUUUUGAUUGAAUUCGCAAUAUCAUAGAUGUAAAUAUGAAACGAAAAUCAAACUGAGUUAUGGUGGUGUUCCAUGGUAACACAACAUUAACAACUUAUUAUCCAUCCUUGCGUUUUAGGUUCAUUCUAGAAGAUAAGAGUAGAACUUCAGUAGUACAGUCUUUGUUGCGGUUUUUUGAAUGUCGCUGUCUUUGUAUUUAAAUGGCUUACAGGAGGGACCGAGAGUUCAAGGUCACUCUCAAACUGGCUAGCAAACCAGAUGUGCAUCAGCCGCGACAGUUCCUGCUAAGCCAUCAGCAUGAGUCGCCUCAAGAUGCAAUUCAAGCUCUGGAUGUUGUUCUUAGGACCACACUUGAUGAAAAGUAAGGUCUCUCUUUGGUAGAAGGGCUUAAGAUUUAUUUUUUCCUUGUAUGCGUUGUUUCCUCACUGACGACGGUCUUGAUCGUUGUAAUUUCUAUCACAGGUGCACUGUUGUCGGGAGGUCUUAUUUCGCCAUUGAGCCUCGGCAGAAAGUUGAUGUUGGUGCGGGUCUGGAAUACCGGGGAGGCUUUUACCUGAGCCUAGGGCCGACUCAACUUGGGGUCAUGCUCAAUAUAGGUAACGCAUUAACCAAAAUUUCCCUGUUCUGAUCUGAUAAUCAUAUGAAGUUAAGUAACAAGAGUGUUGUGACUAACUUUUGUUCACAUAUUUGCAGAUGUAUCAACCGGAGCAUUUUAUGAACCUAUUCUGGUAACUGAGUUUGUGGAAAAACUUUUGAACCACGGAGAAGUGCCAAGGCCUUUGCCUGAUUGUGACCGUUUGAAGGUACUCUCCGUUUUUGUUUCGAUUUGUUUCAUGUUGUUUUGAUAGGCAAGGUAUCUAAAAGUAAAGCUAUAUGAAAAAAGUACAGGGUGAAUAUGCUGAGUUGAUAGUAAUUAACUUUACCUGUCUGGACAACGAAGUAGAAGCUAUAGGUUAUAUUUAUGCAGAUUUUGCUAGUAUAUAGGCUGAUCAUUCAGUUUUGAAGCUGCAUUUUGUGUAUAUAUCUGACUGAGAAAGGUGAUUUCACGUUCUGGAAACACUCGAGUCAUAUAUUUCACUGCUUCCCAACUAGUUAAAGUUGACUUAAAUGUGUCUGAAUAGCAAAACCUCUGUUAUCUCUCUGGUUGUCUUUUGGUUGUGUGUUGUAUUUCAGUGUAGUUUGGCCUGGCCUGUGUUACUAGUCUCUGUUCCGGCUCUUGGUUGUAAUUCAUUUUUGUCUUGCUGGCCUCUAGUCCUGGAUGUUUUCUGUAUUCUGCCUUUUUGUGACCCGAACAAAAAGUUAAAAGACUAGUAUUACUUGAUAAUUUUCAACUUUAUGCUGGUUUUGUAGGAUCUGGUCACUACUGCUUCUGGCCUGGACCCUAGUGGUGGACAAGGACACCACCAAGCUGGCGGCAGCAGCAGUGGUGGAGGCGACGCCGGAGGUGGUAGUUUCGAGAGCGAUGCCCGAGGUGGCAGAGAUGAUGGAGGCGAUGGAGGUGACGCCGGAGGUGGUGAAGGCGGCGACGCCGGAGGUGGUGGAGGUGAAGGCGGCAGCGAUGGAGGUGGCAGAGGUGACGGCGCGUAGCCUUUAGUAAGAAGACCUGUGAAUCUAUACCAAAAUCAGCUUGGUGAAGAUGUCUUCGUUGCGAUAUUGUAUCCCGAAGAGUACACUAAUUUAUGGGCAUUUCUUCCAGCAAUACGAGUGCGAGAAUGGCGACCGUUGGACCAGAUUUGGUACACUUACCGGGACAGUGCUACCAGAGCUCUGAGGCUAAUAGAUGGGACUGCCGACCUCUUUCUUCUUGGCUGGUCAACGAUCCGGGCUGGUUUGACCAAGCUUGUGCUAUCCUCACGCGUCCACGGGACGAUUUCCGUAAAAAUAAGGGCAAGAGUAAGAGUUGUUGAGAAGGGGGCUGAGGAGGAGGCUGAGCAGGAUCUUGAUGGGCCAGUCCGCUACCAUAUCCACCGGGAUGAGGUAACCACCUUGGAACAGUUCAUGAUACUAAUAUUUUGGUCUCCAGUUUAUACAGCAUUUAGGGCCGAUGAGCAAUGGCUUGAUUUCAGUACGGUGUACAUCAUGGGCACCGGUGAGCGACUAAGUUGGAGACAACUUUGUGAUCACGUCGAGGUCACUAGUUGGGAAGUCUACUUUGUGAUCACAUCAUGGGCACCUGUUCCCAACUAGUGACCUCGACGUGAUCACAAAGUUGUCUCCAACUUAGUCGCUCACCGGUGCCCAUGAUGUACACCGUACUGAAAUCAAGCCAUUGCUCAUCGGCCCUAAAAUGCUGUAUAAACUGGAGACCAAAAUAUUAGUAUCUUGAACCGUUCCAAGGUGGUUACCUCCUCCCGGUGGAUAUGGUAGCGGACUGGCCCAUCAAGAUCCUGCUCAGCCUCCUCCUCAGCCUGCUGCUCAGCCCCCUCCUCAACAACUCUUACUCUUGCCCUUAUUUUUACGGAAAUCGUCCCGUGGACGCGUAAGGAUAGCACAAUCUUGGUCAAACCAGCCCGGAUCGUUGACCAGCCAAGAAGGGAGAGGUCGGCAGUCCCAUCUAUUAGCCUCAGAGCUCUGGUAGCACUGUCCCGGUAAAUGUACCAAAUCUGGUCCAACGGCCGCCAUUCCCGCACUCGUAUUGCUGGAAGAAACGCCCAUAAAUUAGCGUACUCUUUGGGAUAAAAUAUCGCAACGAAGACAUCUUCACCAAGCUGAUUUUGGUAUAGAUUCACAGGUCUUCUUACUAAAGGCUGCGCGCCGUCACCUCUACCACCUCCAUCGCUGCCGCCUUCACCUCCACCACCUCCGGCGUCGCCGCCUUCACCACCUCCGGCGUCACCUCCAUCGCCUCCAUCAUCUUUGCCACCUCGGGCAUCGCUCUCGAAACUACCACCUCCGGCGUCGCCUCCACCACUGCUGCUGCCGCCAGCUUGGUGGUGUCCUUGUCCACCACUAGGGUCCAGGCCAGAGGCAGUAGUGACCAGAUCCUACAAAACCAUCAUAAAGUUGAAAAUUAUCAAGCUACACCUCGCAAUGAACCAAUUUGCUACAAAAAAUGAUUGUCUGCAAAGAAUGGCAAAUUUAGUCAUCUUAUAGUCAAUCUCAGGACCAAAAACUGGUUUUGGCCUUUUUCUAGGAGAAGAAUUGGAGCAAGAAUGCGAAGAGAGGGCUACUUCGGGAUGAUUAUUUUCAAUUUCUCAGACGAAAUGGGAAAAAAAUUCAGCCUGGAAAAAGAAUGAAGUAGGAGAAGAAUCUAUCGCUUGCGACUAUUGACGGUGAGAGAAGGAAAAAAAUAUGAAUUUUUGGAAGAAAGAAGGGAUCUUUGGAUCUGGGUUGAGGAUAAAUGGUUUUGGGUUUUCUGGGAAAGUUAUGAUUUUCUCGGGAAAAUUUGGACGGUGCGAGAAAGGGGGAAUAUUUGGGAUGAUAGAGAGGAGAGAAGGGAGAGGGGAAGGAAGGAAGGAAAGAGGAUUGAUUGAUGCAAGGAAUAGGAAAAGAGAUGGAUUCGUGGGUACUAUAUGAUAUCAUACUAUUACAUUUUCUUAUAGCUACAUAAACUUUGUUUAUUUAACUUUAUCAUUUACAUUUAUCUAUGUAAAUAUUUGUUUUUAUUUAUUUAAUUUUGUUGGAUUGUAUCUGAUAUGUGAGAAAUAAACAAAAAAAGAAAAUGUUAAUUUGGUGAAUGAUUGUCCAACUAC
rnacentral:lncRNA from 1 species